rnacentral:lncRNA from 1 species
CUCAUAUGUGUGUACGUGUAAGGUGCUGCCAGAAUUUAUCCUCCAGAAUUCUGGGAUAAAAUUUACACAAAGAGUUGGAAAAUGUUGACUGCAAACAGCCAUCUCUAGUUUUCUUUGUAUGAACUGAGUACUUAAGUUUUCACCUUCAUGACACUGAAUUCCCUUGAAGAAUGACAUGAAGGGAAGAAAUCGGUUUCUAGUUUAUAUCGUCUUUCUAGUCAGAAAAAUCUUGUGUGUGACAUGCGGGGCUGGGUGAAGCUAAUUUAGCUUUUUACAGUGGUGGUUUUACAAGAGCACUGCCUCACAACUUAUACAUCUGAACAUGGAUUUGAAAUGACAGACUUCAAAGGGCUGAAAAGGAAUCAGGAGGAUGGUUUGAUGGAUGCUCUCCUGGGCAGGAAAUUCUCUUGUGUUGAGACACUUUGAGCUCUGUGAACAUGCAGAUUUAGCUGGAAUAACAGGCAACAGCCAGGGUGUCAGCUUUCAGGUUCCAAGGAUUUGCCUACUGCAGAAGGACCCAUAGAGAAAACAAGUGACAUGAAAUUUUAUUUAGGUUUGUAUGUUUUUACUUUUUCAUUAUUAGCAGCCUUGUUUCAAAGAGAAGCAAAAACAAAAAACCCCCAACUCUUACAUUUAAAGGUAACUAUUGCUUU